rnacentral:pre_miRNA from 1 species
UCACAGAUCACUUUGAGACCUUGUUAAAAUGCAGAUUCUGAUUCAGUAGAUCUGGGUGGGGCCUGAGAGACUGCAUUUCUAACAAGUUGCAGGUGAUGCCAAU